AACGAACGCUGGCGGCAUGCCUAACACAUGCAAGUCGAACGGGAUCCGGACUUCGGUUCGGUGAGAGUGGCGGACGGGUGAGUAACGCGUGGGAACCUGCCCAGUGGUGGGGGAUAACUGCGGGAAACUGCAGCUAAUACCGCAUGAGCCCGAGAGGGGAAAGAUUUAUCGCCAUUGGAGGGGCCCGCGUUCGAUUAGGU
rnacentral:rRNA from 1 species